UACAGAGGGGGCAAGCGUUAUUCGGAAUUAUUGGGCGUAAAGGGCGCGUAGGCGGCCUGGCAAGUGGAAGGUGAAAUCCCUCGGCUUAACCGAGGAACUGCCCUCCAAACUGCUUGGCUUGAGUCCGGGAGAGGUGAGUGGAAUUCCCGAGUGUAGCGGUGAAAUGCGUAGAUAUUGGGAGGAACACCAGUGGCGAAGGCGGCUCACUGGACCGGCAACUGACGCUGAGGCGCGAAAGCGUGGGAGCAACGGG
rnacentral:rRNA from 1 species